GGGGAUUUAGCUCAGCGGUAGAGCGCUUGCCUGUCGAGCGCAAGGCCCUGGGUUCGGUCCCCAGCUCCG
rnacentral:tRNA from 1 species